rnacentral:rRNA from 1 species
GAGUUUGAUCGUGGCUCAGGACGAACGCUGGCGGCGCGCUUAACACAUGCAAGUCGAGCGAGAACUAGUCCUCCGGGACUAGGGACAGCGGCGAACGGGUGAGUAACACGUGAGUAAUCCACCCUCGGUACCGGAAUAGCCCGGGGAAACUCGGAUUAAUGCCGGAUGGCCCAUUUGCUCUUCGGAGCUGAAUGGAAAAGAUAGCUUCGGCCUUCGACCGGGGACGAGCUCGCGGCGGAUUAGCUUGUUGGCGGGGUAACGGCCCACCAAGGCGACGAUCCGUAGCUGGUCUGAGAGGACGAUCAGCCACACUGGGACUGAGACACGGCCCAGACUCCUACGGGAGGCAGCAGUGGGAAUCUUGCGCAAUGGGCGAAAGCCUGACGCAGCGACGCCGCGUGAGGGAAGAAGGCCUGG